AUGUUGUUUCUUCAUCUUCGUCAUGUCAUCUCCUUUUCCUUUAGUCCUAUUGCAAACCAAUCAAACCCACCUCUUGCUUUUCUCUUUUGGCAAGUAUUCACCAAAACUGCAUUAUUGAUAGGGCAUUGAAUGAAAUGACACCAUCACUAUUGUUAUGCGUUGAGCUUUUUCCUUUUUCUUUUACGUAUAUCGUUCUUCUUUUUUCGGUUUUCUUUUCCAAAAUGUUGACUGAUUAUAACGAAAUGGUUUCUUUCCACAUGCUGCUGCUGGAUAAGGAAUCAAAUCAAUGGCGAAAGGAAGAAUAACAUCCCUUCCUUUCCACACUCAUUGAAUAACAUUACUUGCUUCUUAUCUUUUCUAUUUUCCUUGUGAUUCUUCCUUGAUUAUACUUGCUGUGGCGCUUCUCUUCUGUUUGCUAACAUCUCUCUGCUACUUCAUCCUAUUGCUGAAUUUCUAAAUAAACACUUCUUUUCUUUUUAUACAAGGCAAAGUAAAAAAUACAGGGUGAGUACAAAGUGUAGUGUAACAUAGUGGGUAUAAAAAAAAAAAUGCAAACGUGAGAGAGGAAGCAAAACACAGGAAGGAAUGCAGGCCUAAUCAGUAAUCACUCAAGGACCAAAUGAGACAAAGAAAGGAAGAUGCCACCAUAUUUGCAUAUCUUGCAGCUUAAUAGAGGAUCCAUCUGUACGUUUUACUGAUAUGGCUGGUAGAUCUAAGUUGGGUUUAAUAUAUCAAGAAAUAUGUUGUUC